UUGUGGCCCCAACUCAGG
rnacentral:rRNA from 1 species